AUUGAACGCUGGCGGCAUGCCUUACACAUGCAAGUCGAACGGCAGCGCGGACUUCGGUCUGGCGGCGAGUGGCGAACGGGUGAGUAACAUAUCGGAACGUGCCCUGGAGUGGGGGAUAACUAGUCGAAAGACUAGCUAAUACCGCAUACGAUCUAUGGAUGAAAGUGGGGGAUCGCAAGACCUCAUGCUCGUGGAGCGGCCGAUAUCUGAUUAGCUAGUUGGUGGGGUAAAGGCCUACCAAGGCAUCGAUCAGUAGCUGGUCUGAGAGGACGACCAGCCACACUGGGACUGAGACACGGCCCAGACUCCUACGGGAGGCAGCAGUGGGGAAUUUUGGACAAUGGGGGCAACCCUGAUCCAGCAAUGCCGCGUGAGUGAAGAAGGCCUUCGGGUUGUAAAGCUCUUUUGUCAGGGAAGAAACGGUCCGGGCCAAUAUCCUGGGCUAAUGACGGUACCUGAAGAAUAAGCACCGGCUAACUACGUGCCAGCAGCCGCAGUAAUAC
rnacentral:rRNA from 1 species